rnacentral:rRNA from 1 species
CCUACGGGAGACAGCAGUGGGGAAUAUUGGGCAAUGGGCGCAAGCCUGACCCAGCAACGCCGCGUGAAGGAAGAAGGCUUUCGGGUUGUAAACUUCUGUUAAGGGGGAAGAGCAGAAGACGGUACCCCUUGAAUAAGCCACGGCUAACUACGUGCCAGCAGCCGCGGUAAUACGUAGGUGGCAAGCGUUGUCCGGAUUUACUGGGUGUAAAGGGCGUGCAGCCGGAGAGACAAGUCAGAUGUGAAAUCCACGGGCUCAACCCGUGAACUGCAUUUGAAACUGUUUCCCUUGAGUGUCGGAGAGGUAAUCGGAAUUCCUUGUGUAGCGGUGAAAUGCGUAGAUAUAAGGAAGAACACCAGUGGCGAAGGCGGAUUACUGGACGAUAACUGACGGUGAGGCGCGAAAGCGUGGGGAGCAAACAGGAUUAGAUACCCCAGUAGUC